rnacentral:rRNA from 1 species
AUGGCCUUGCAACUUUCUAUAGGCGAUUUUUUUAAGAAUUUCAGCAUUAUCAUGGCACCAAUUACCGACUGUUUGAAGAAAGGAAAGUUCCAAUGGGCAGAAGCAGCUGAAGCUAGCUUUAAUGAGAUUAAACAAAAGCUAUCACAAGCUCCUGUCUUGGUACUACCUGAUUUCAACAAGACUUUUGAGUUGGAGUGUGAUGCAAGUGGAGUAGGCAUUGGAGCUGUCCUAUCUCAAGAAAGGAAGCCCAUUGCUUUCUUUAGUGAGAAGUUAAGUGAAGCUAGACAGAAAUGGAGUACCUAUCAGCAAGAAUUAUACGCCGUUUUCAGAGCGUUGAAAACUUGGGAAGUCUAUUUGCUACCUAAAGAGUUCAUUGUUUAUAGCGACCAUCAAUCCUUGAAGCAUUUUAGAAAUCAAAAGCAUGUUGACCGCAUGCUAGCAAGAUGGGCAGCAUAUCUUGAGAGGUUUAACUAUCUCAUCGUGCAUAAAUCUGGAAUAACUAACAGAGUGGCCGAUGCUUUGAGUCAUCGUGCAUGCCUCUUGACUUCUUUUGAAGCUGAAUUUCUGGGCAUGGGUCAAAUAAAGGAGUUGUAUGAGGGUGACGAAGACUUUGGCCAUGUUUGGGUAAAGCACGCAAGGGGCCAACCAUUAGGUGAUGACUCUUUGAUGCAAGAUGGAUAUCUCUUCAAAAAUGAUCGUUUGUGCAUUCCAAGAAGUUCUCUACGUGACAAGCUGGUUAGAGAGCUCCAUUCAAGUGAUCUUAGUGGCCAUGUUGGACGGGACAAGACUAUCGCUAACCUAGAAGCUCGCUACUUUUGGCCACAACUAAAGAGAGAUGCUGGAAAGUUCGUUCAACGGUGCCCCGUAUGUCAGACCUGCAAAGGCCAAGUCCAGAACACAUGGUUAUACAUGCCUUUGCCUGUUCCUAUUGCUCCAUGGGAGGACAUUUCUAUGGACUUCGUCUUGGGCUUGCCAAGAACAAGACGAGGAAGUGAUGCUGUAUUUGUGGUCGUGGAUAGAUUCUCUUAG